CUCUUUCCCUUAGUUGCUGC
rnacentral:siRNA from 1 species